CUUCUAUGUAUUUUUGCUCUGUCUUUGUUUUGCUUUAUGUUCCUCAGUUUCUUUCUAUAUCUCCAUAUACUUACACCUAGCGAAGGGUUAUAUUAAUGUUCAGGAGCUGAAAAAUAGCUCAUAAUGUAGGUCUCUCAUGUAAAACAUGUCUUCAUACGUAGCUCUUAAUUGACAUAGUGUAUGUAUUGCCUCAUCCAUAAAUCUGUG